CUCCCCGCGCGACGCCGUUGCCGUGGCGACCGCGGGGCCGCCGCUCCAGAAGGUUCCCGGGAAUGGGGAAUGCGGGGAAUGCGGGGAAUGCGGGAAAUGCGGGAAAUUCGGGAAUCGCGGCCUCCUCGCCCCUCGGGGUGCUCCUCCCGCAGCCCCGCUCUGCCACAGGAUGGCAGUAAAAUAAAGCUGCGGCCUCUUCCCGGCGGCUGGAAACUCGCGGAACGUGGAAAAGCAGCAGGAGGCUGGAGUGAGCGAUCCAUGAACUGCUGUUCCAGGGAAGCACAGCAGCGAGGAGGGAGCGGGCCGGGAUGGAGCAAGGACAGGGAUGCUCCGGCCGUGAGGAUCAGGGUUCCAGGGCACAUCCCCUUCCCAAGGCUUCGUGGCAGUGCAUUAUUGCUUCCCUGCGCUGCUUCGGGCCUGGGAAGGGCUGGGUUACAGUUAAACAGGGAAAAGGAGCUCUUGGUUUUAGCAGGAAGAGGCAGAUAAAGGGAGAACACCUCAGCAAACCUUUGGAAUAGUCGUCAGAGGGAGGUUUCAGUAAAAGCAUGGAUUUGGGAGAUCUUUCCCAGCCUUAAUUGUAGAAUAUGUUGAGAAGUUGAAGCUCCAGGAGCAGGAGAAUUUGCAGGAUUUUGUAUUUGAUAGACAAAUUACAUUAAAGAAAAUCCACCUGGCUGGUUUGUGACAAGUGGCAAGUGAACAUUGCAGCCUGGCAUGGCUGCCCUAAAACCAACCAGAGCCAUCUCUGUUAAUCAGAAUAUUGACAAGUAAUUAAUAAAUGACUCCUGUAAAUGAUUUAUGCUACGCUAAAGAUGCUGCUUGUGCCGUUUUUAGUGUGAAUAGACUUUAACUUCAGGGCAGUUUGGAGUAACUGCAGUGCAGAGGUUGGUACUACUAAAAUAUUUGUAAUAUUCUGUGUGUGGCUUGAAACAAGGCUGAAUUCUGUGUGUGAGCAAUAAAACCCAUCAUGACUGGCACGAGA